GAUGAACGCUAGCGGGAGGCCUAACACAUGCAAGCCGAGCGGUAUUUGUUCUUCGGAACAGAGAGAGCGGCGCACGGGUGCGGAACACGUGUGCAACCUGCCUUUAUCUGGGGGAUAGCCUUUCGAAAGGCAGAUUAAUACCCCAUAAUAUAUUGAGUGGCAUCAUUUGAUAUUGAAAACUCCGGUGGAUAGAGAUGGGCACGCGCAAGAUUAGAUAGUUGGUGAGGUAACGGCUCACCAAGUCAAUGAUCUUUAGGGGGCCUGAGAGGGUGGUCCCCCACACUGGUACAGAGACACGGACCAGACUCCUACGGGAGGCAGCAGUGAGGGAUAUUGGACUAUGGGUUAGCGCAUUAUCCUGCCAACCCGCGUGAAGGACGGCCGCCCUAUGGGUUGUAAACUUCUUUUGUAUAGCGAUAAACCUACUCUCGUGAGAGUAGCUGAAGGUACUAUACGAAUAAGCACCGGCUAACUCCGUG
rnacentral:rRNA from 1 species